rnacentral:rRNA from 1 species
UACGUAGGGUGCAAGCGUUGUCUGGAAUUAUUGGGCGUAAAGAGCUCGUAGGCGGUCUGUCGCGUCGGCUGUGAAAACUCGGGGCUCAACCCCGAGCCUGCAGUCGAUACGGGCAGACUAGAGUGCUGUAGGGGAGACUGGAAUUCCUGGUGUAGCGGUGAAAUGCGCAGAUAUCAGGAGGAACACCGGUGGCGAAGGCGGGUCUCUGGGCAGUAACUGACGCUGAGGAGCGAAAAGCGUGGGGAGCGAACAGG